GGUGCAUGAGGCCCCGUUGGGCACAACCUCCGACCAAGCAUCCAAGCCUCACACACCUAGCCCACCUAGGCAGAGAGCCAAAACGGAUUCCCUCUCAAAGCAUCCCCCAAAGAGACAGAAGUGAAGACCCCACAAGAGAUGACUGACUACCCAGAGCUUCUGUCACCUCCCAGAGAGGAAGGAUUUGGACUCGGAGGAGAGACCCCAGGUCCGGGGUACAAAGAUGCAGGCCCUCAGCAAGGCCAGGCAGGUGGGAUGACAAGUGUAACCCCUACCCAGAAUUGCCUCUGGUAUGCACCCUGGCAACCCCAGCAACCUCUCGAGACUUUCUCGCUUUACCGAGCCAGGACACGAUGCUAUAUACUGCCCGUCUGCACCCAGGCUGACAAUGCCAUUAAUUUUGCAUUUUAAUUUUGAGUUUAAGUUAACUUUAUGUUUUAGUUAAUCUUUUAGUUGCCUGCCUCUAUCUAAACACACUCUAUGAUAAAGUGAGGUGUUUCAGGGAUUAAACACGCU